rnacentral:rRNA from 1 species
AACGAACGCUGGCGGCAGGCUUAACACAUGCAAGUCGAGCGCCCCGCAAGGGGAGCGGCAGACGGGUGAGUAACGCGUGGGAAUCUACCCAUCUCUACGGAAUAACGCAUGGAGAUGUGUGCUAAUACCGUAUACGUCCUUCGGGAGAAAGAUUUAUCGGAGAUGGAUGAGCCCGCGUUGGAUUAGCUAGCUGGUGGGGUAAAGGCCUACCAAGGCGACGAUCUAUAGCUGGUCUGAGAGGAUGAUCAGCCACACUGGGACUGAGACACGGCCCAGACUCCUACGGGAGGCAGCAGCGGGGAAUAUUGGACAAUGGGCGCAAGCCUGAUCCAGCCAUGCCGCGUGAGUGAUGAAGGCCCUAGGGUUGUAAAGCUCUUUCACCGGUGAAGAUAAUGACGGUAACCGGAGAAGAAGCCCCGGCUAACUUCGUGCCAGCAGCCGCCGUAAGAC